rnacentral:rRNA from 1 species
ACUCGAGUGGCGAACGGGUGAGUAACACGUGGGUGAUCUGCCCUGCACUUCGGGAUAAGCCUGGGAAACUGGGUCUAAUACCGGAUAGGACGAUGGUUUGGAUGCCAUUGUGGAAAGUUUUUCGGUGUGGGAUGAGCUCGCGGCCUAUCAGCUUGUUGGUGGGGUAAUGGCCUACCAAGGCGUCGACGGGUAGCCGGCCUGAGAGGGUGUACGGCCACAUUGGGACUGGGAUACGGCCCAG